UAUUGACCAGUAUAGCAGCACCACCAU
rnacentral:piRNA from 1 species